AUACUAUGGUUUCUCUUUAGAAUUACUAAAUCUUUUGUAUUUUAUUAAAGAUUUAUGUGGAGAGAAACAACUAUGAGUUUUGGUGAAUUUUUUUGAUGCCUGGCUAAUGCCGGGCC